rnacentral:rRNA from 1 species
UACGAGUGGUGCAAGCGUUAUUCGGAAUCAUUGGGCGUAAAGGGUGUGUAGGCGGCAAAUCAAGUUUAUUGUUAAAUCUCCCGGCCUAACCGGGAUAGUGCGGUGAAUACUGAUUUGAUAGAGGGUGGAAGAGAGAAGUGGAAUUCUCGGAGUAGCGGUAAAAUGCGUAGAUAUCGAGAGGAACACCGAUGGCGAAGGCAGCUUCUUGGUCCAUACCUGACGCUGAAACACGAAAGCGUGGGGAGCAAACAGG